CUUAGCAUCAGAUUCCAAUCGACAACAAUUUGAAACAACGCAUCAUGAAGUUUGCUAUCUGCCUCGUUUUCAUAGCUAUGGCCUUCCUGGCAACGUACACCGACGCCUGCUGCUGUCAUCACGGCAGUCACCACAGCCACCACAGCAGGCACGGCAUCCCCAUCCCCAUCCCUUACCCCAUGGGCGGCAGCAGCGGCGGCAGCCACUCCGCCAACAUCCCCCUCAUCAUCACAACAACAGGAAAAUAAACACGGCACAGAUGACGGUGGUAAAAAUCCUAGGCGGUUACCUCCCCUUCAGGAAACUGCUUUUGACAGGAAUUCAACGCAUUUCGAGCUACGAAGAUCAGUUACUAUUUAAUGUACUGCUGAGUAUAAUAAAUUCUAAAUACCUCA